CCUUCUUUCGGGGCGUGGUGACCCCAGGUGACCUGUCCUUUUCCUUCCUGCCAGUCAGGGUGCCCCGCCACCCCGGCCCGGCCCUUUGGAAGCAGCCAGGCCUGCCCAGCACGGUGGUCACCUCCCAGACACCUUCAGCUGUGCCCUCCAGCCCGGGAGCAGGCCGAGGGAGUGGCCGUCGAUGGAAGGCGGCAACGCCCCUCGUGGCCUCCUUUGGCUAGAUAGGGGUUGUGAACCCGCCUGGGGAUGAGGCCUGGUCUUAAGGAAAGUGGACUGAGUUUCCCGGGGCUGACGGCUCUGGCCCCGGGUGGUAUGUAAUUUGGGCUUGGCCUGACAGCACCCAGUCCUGGGUGUGAGGGGUGGCCGCGGAGUGGUGGUACAGGCAAGGAGUUGUCUUCACACCUGACAGGACUGCUCAGCGGGGACCACCGAGAUUGAAGGCGCGCGUCUUGACCACAUUGAUCACAGCUUUAUUUUUCAGGUGGCAGUAACCCCCUGUGGACUUUGCCUAGGUUCCGUGGUUCCCUCUUCUGUGAUCUCUCUCCCCUUCUCUUCCUUCUAACUCUGAGGUUAUGGGUUCACUUAAAGCCUUGCCUCUGGGUGAUCUGGUAAGCCUGGGUAAGGUAGAGAGUUGGUGUUGGAGUCUUGGACUCGGUAUCUUGGUAUUUCUGGUAAAAGUGGAGGACACCCUGACUGGGUGGGGAGGGUUGGUGUUGAUUUGCAGAGGGUGGGGCUUGACUGUGGACCCCUGGGUGGGUUCACAGCCAUGGUUCCAGUCACCCAAAUGCCUCAUGGACGUGGUUUAUUACUGUAGUGUUCAUCAUGGCAAGCAGAUGGCACCAAGAGAAAUGGACCCCCUGCCAGUGAGUCCUAGCAUUGCAGGAGGGCAGACCCUGGAGGAGACAGCGACCUAAGUUGAUGCCUACACAGUGAAUUCCAGAGGCUUAGGAAGUUCUGCACUGCCAUGUGUCCAGGCCUUACUCAGGAAGCCCUGUGUUCAGAAAGCCAUCCUUUUAAGUGGUUCAAACCAGCUUAUGGGGGUGGGGACGGGCAAACGCUUCGUGCUGGAGUGGCUGUCGGCUAUGAAUGUUCCGGAUGAAUGUCUUUUUCUGGGAGCACCAUUCUCCGGAUGCAUGAAUGCCAGCCAGCACCCCCCUUCCUGGAGGUAGAGGCAUUCAGCUGCUGCAUCUUCUAAAUCAAGCCUCCAGUCUUUAGUUCUGUGCUACGAACUUGGCUUCGAGAAGAUUGCUUAAAGUGUAGAACCCUCAACACAGCAUGAUGCCUUGUAGAUGGUGUUUGCAGAGGAGCCCGGGGACCUGACACCUUCCCUGAUCUACAGCAUGCCUGCCUCUGCAUUGGUCAGAGGAAUUCCUAAGUGUGAUAAAACUUUUGGGUGUUGGGGAACGCUGUUCAAUUUUAAAUGACUGAAAGAAAGUGGAAGAGUAUUAGAUGAGGCCGACUGCUACAUGGUGGGGUGUUGCCUUUUUAAAAAAGUAUGGGAGGGUACAAGCUGGCCGCAAGGUUUUUGGUGAUUUGUAGACGGCAUAUCUGAUUUGGGCAUUGGGAUAGCAUCUGGUACCUACAAGGGAAUGGUGGGCCUGCAGUGAUCCCUGAGAAUCUUUCUGUGGCUUUGGUUUGGUACUGGGUGGUAGGCAGGUGUUACCCCACUGAGUGAUUCUGACUUGGCCUGGCUGUGUAUACCAGGCUGGCCUCUGCUCUCAAGCGUGCUGGGAUUACAGGUGUCAGCUAAAACGUCGCCUUCCAGCUUAACCUGGAGUUUUGCUGGAUCAGGCUUGAGAAUACUUGUGCACCAGAGGUGGGAUUGCAGGAGAGAGUGGGGCUCACCUUGGCAUUGGUGUCUUGGCCAGAGGUUUGAGGGAUUGGGGGUGCCGGCAAGGGGUGUGGGCUGAUUGGAGUAACAGUUUGGGAACUAAAUAUCUCAUUAGGAAAAUGUGUAAGUUGAUGGUGAAUCCUCAUGUGGGUGCCUGGAACAUAAAAAUCCUAAGGGGGGGGGAAGCAAAAUUGUUUUGCUUUGCUGUCAAACGGGCAAUACUGAAGUUGUAUCUGAACUUUGUUCAGUUGCUUGAAAGAUGGUGUCAGACUCAAGACUGCCCAUCCCAUGCCAGCCUAUGGGCGUGGGGUGGAGAGGAGUGCUGGGGAGGGGCUUGUAAAUGCCCACAUCGUGGGCUCUUGAAGCAUGGGUCCUCGCAGUUGAGGUUGACAGACUGCUGGGUUUAUAAUUCAAAUCCUAUCAGAUACUGUGUGGUUGAAAAUUGUUGUAUCUAAAGGAAUUUAACUUGCAAGUCAUGCCUUAUGAACCACCUACAGGAAUUUAAUGUGAGUCAUGCCUUAUGAACCACCUACAGGAAUUUAAUGUGAGUCAUGCCUUAGGAAACAGUACAGGAAUUUAAUAUGUGAGUCAUGCCUUAUGAAACACAUACCGAUUUUUCUGGGAUUGACCAGGAGACGACCGGGGUAUUUACUUGACUAACAGAUCAGUCAUUGUGACAGGGGACAAGGCCUUGCACUUGCUAUGACAUGACUGUGGUGUUUGGUAGAAAAAACCUGAUCCUUGUGUGUACCCUUGCUAAGGCUGCAAUGAAUACAUUGUGUUCUUACCUUGAAUGGUGGUGCCUUCCCGGAGCAGAGGGGAGGCUGUAAUUGUCAAAUGAGUUUGGGAAAUAAAGUCAAACGGGGCUGCCUGGGACAUCUUACUAAGAACACUCUGUAAAAAUUAACUCUGGAAACCCUGGGUGUCUGAAGUGCCAAAGUUGUCAAUGGCUUUUCUUGUCUUUCCCUUAAAUCAAGUCCCCAGUACUGUUACCUCGGGGUCUUUGUCUUCCGGGUUGGUGAUUUUGUCUGUUUUAUGUUGUCUAUGUGUGUGGUCUAAAAUGGUGGUGUGACCAGGAAUGAUCACUGUCAUUGGAACAGCAGAGUGUUGGUCAUGUUGGAAUGGGGAAUUGUGGAGAGAGCUGUAAUAGCAGGUCCCAGCACCCACUUGUUUGUACUAAAGUGUUCUGAAGUGUGUACAGCCAGCCACUAACCAUUUUCUCCUUUACAGCAAAAUAAAGGUUUGAGAUCGAAACUCCUUA